rfam:Salmo salar isolate Sally breed double haploid chromosome ssa22, whole genome shotgun sequence.
UGUAUUCACUACUGUAAGUCGCUCUGGAUAAGAGCGUCUGCUAAAUGACUAUAA